GACGAACGCUGGCGGCGUGCUUAACACAUGCAAGUCGAACGGAAAGGCCCUGCUUUUGUGGGGUGCUCGAGUGGCGAACGGGUGAGUAACACGUGAGUAACCUGCCCUUGACUUUGGGAUAACUUCAGGAAACUGGGGCUAAUACCGGAUAGGAGCUCCUGCUGCAUGGUGGGGGUUGGAAAGUUUCGGCGGUUGGGGAUGGACUCGCGGCUUAUCAGCUUGUUGGUGGGGUAGUGGCUUACCAAGGCUUUGACGGGUAGCCGGCCUGAGAGGGUGACCGGCCACAUUGGGGCUGAGAUACGGCCCAGACUCCUACGGGAGGCAGCAGUGGGGAAUAUUGCACAAUGGGCGGAAGCCUGAUGCAGCAACGCCGCGUGCGGGAUGACGGCCUUCGGGUUGUAAACCGCUUUCGCCUGUGACGAAGCGUGGGUGACGGUAAUGGGUAAAGAAGCACCGGCUAACUACGUG
rnacentral:rRNA from 1 species